rnacentral:piRNA from 1 species
UGCUAAAGUGUCACAUCCCAGCCCUAGG